AUGGAUGCCAAGAAGUUCCUGCAGAUGGUCGAAGACAAGAAGAAGAGACUCCUUGAGAAGAAGGAAGCCCCACUGAAAUGGCAGCAGAAACUGGAAGCGGCAAUUAAGGCCACUGAAGAGAAGGAGAAGAAGCUCAAGUCAAAAAAGCACAGGAAGGACCGCAAAAGGCACAGGAAACAUGGCCACUCUGACUCUGAUGGUGCCAGGAGGCGCAAGCACAGGUCAAAGAGGAGGAGCUUGGACUCUAGUGAUGAGAGCGACAGUGAUGAAUAUGAUAGCGAAUCUGAAGAAGAGCGCCCAAGGAAGAAGCACUCGCACAGGAGGAAGCAUCACCGACACUCUCCAAGGUCAGAGUCUGAUGCUUCAGAUUACAGCAGCGAUGAUGAUGAGCGGAGAUCAACCAGGAAGGACCACACAAGGAGCCGCAGGCGUCGCCACCGAUCAUUAGACGAUGAAUCUGAGGACAAGAUCAGGUCGAGGCAUAGGAAGCGUCACAGAUCAAGUGACGAGGACAAGCCAUCAGAUUCUGACAUCCAUAAGCGUCACAGGAGCCGCUCUAUGUCCUUGGAUGAUGGUGCUGCUGGUGAGCCAGACAAGAUGAAUGAUGGUAAGGGGUCUCACAAAAGCCGGCACCACCGCCGCCAUCACCAUCACCAUCAUGAUCACCAUGGCAACUCUGCUGAACCCAGUGACGGGAAGCAACUCGUGUAA
rnacentral:rRNA from 1 species